rnacentral:rRNA from 1 species
AGUUUGAUCCUGGCUCAGAUUGAACGCUGGCGGCAGGCCUAACACAUGCAAGUCGAGCGGAUGAGAGGAGCUUGCUCCUUGAUUCAGCGGCGGACGGGUGAGUAAUGCCUAGGAAUCUGCCUAGUAGUGGGGGACAACGUUUCGAAAGGAACGCUAAUACCGCAUACGUCCUACGGGAGAAAGUGGGGGAUCUUCGGACCUCACGCUAUUAGAUGAGCCUAGGUCGGAUUAGCUAGUUGGUAGGGUAAAGGCCUACCAAGGCGACGAUCCGUAACUGGUCUGAGAGGAUGAUCAGUCACACUGGAACUGAGACACGGUCCAGACUCCUACGGGAGGCAGCAGUGGGGAAUAUUGGACAAUGGGCGAAAGCCUGAUCCAGCCAUGCCGCGUGUGUGAAGAAGGCCCUCGGGUCGUAAAGCACUUUAAGUUUGGGAGGAAGGGCUCAUAGCGAAUACCUGUGAGUUUUGACGUUACCAACAGAAUAAGCACCGGCUAACUUCGUGCCAGCAGCCGCGGUAA